UUGACUGGUUGGAGAUGUCGAGGGGAUAAGAUCACGGCGUCUCCGCGUGGCGCGACUUUUCUGGAAGCGUAUCGUGCCACUUUCUUUUCCUGCUUUUCUCCAUCUCCAAACCUCCCUCCCAAAUUUCGCCGCCUUCGGCCAUGGCUCAGAUGCCGCCGGUUGAGCCCCUCCGUUCCUCCCUCUCCUCGCCGCCGAUGAGCCGCGCUCACGGGCGAAGCCCGAUCGACGUCGAUAGGCCCUUCUCUCUCUCCCCGUUCGGGGGAUGGACGAUGCUGGACGACUCCGUCGAGCGGCAGCGUUUUGUAUCGCUGCGGCCCCAUCCUCUCCCGCGAUUCUCUCCCCUCUCUCCAAUUUACAGACGGUUGUGGGCGUCUGCAUCUGUGCUCACGAUGGUGCUGCUGGCUGCCGGGCCAGCGCCGGCGGCACAGGGGUGCAGAGUUGGCGGGCGCGGCCGCCCACGGGCGAUUAGGGGAGUCUAGGCCACGGGGAGCAUGACACGGGGAUGAUUCUACACCGUGGAGGACCAAGACGACGACCACGGCCGCGCAACACUGGCUGAUGUGCUGUGCAGCGGGCGGACGCGACGACCCAGAGGGGGCCUCACGAUGCAGCUUCACCUCGGCGCGUCAUUGAUUUCAUGGCGACGGACAACUGGUGGCGUCCCUGAUGUGCUGUUGUUGUUGCACGGCUUGGCCGCAGGCAGGUGGACUUCAGGCGGCAUGUUGUUGUACAUUGACUCGCCGGGGCAGCCGACGCAGGUGCAACCAGGGCCGCUGCACUCGUGGGCGGCGCGGUGGCGCUCGGACGGGCCUUCACGCGCAGCGGCGUGAGACCACCCAUGCCGGAACUUGAAACAUGGGAUUCGAACCUACACGAGCGCUGCUGAGUUGUUGAUGGCCUUAAUUUUGGGUGACGCGAUUGACUAAACGAAGGAACUGCUGGAGAUAAUCAAGCGGCUGCAGAAGAUGGAGGAGGGGCAGCACAAUACCUGACACAACUGACAGCGGUGGCGCGUUGUUGAGCACCAGAUUAAGGCUGCCUACAUAUUUCACUCCAGAGCACCAUAUUAAGGUUGAUUUGAUUGCAGCAUUUACAUUUACAUGAAGGGUUGUUUCCAUGCAUAAAUUGCAUGGAGGUUAGUUGAUAAUCUUCUGUCUGGUUAGUGCUUCAAUAAGGAGAAUUUUGCAAAUUGUGCAUCGUGUUUUAGUUAGUGAACAGUUACCGAAUACGGUGACUGUUCUUGACCUAUAGUUUUUCAGAGCGCAAGGUAUCAUCUAAUUUGUACGACACACUUUGCUCAUUAGAGUUAACACUACUCUUGGUGCCACAACAGUUUGCUGUUCUAUCAGUCCACACCUAUGCCUUAAGGAGGAACUCAGGACCAGCUGCUGCAUCAGCCAAAAAAGGUAUAUUUCCGCACUGAUAGUUUGCAUUUCUCUUCCUUCAUCGCUAUGUAUUCAUAUACGGGUUCAGACAGUGGUGUAUUCGCUCAGCUUACGUGUUUGUGGAGCUCAAGUUAUCUUUAGGGUGUCAUUUUCUUGCAUUCUUACUGCCUCUACAUGUUUGCAGCUAAACCUUCAAGUUAUUCCUCGAAUUCUUAGGUUACAGCUUAAAUUUCUCAAAACUCUAAUGGAUUCAGAAAUCACUUUAGAAUUCUAAAAAAAAUCAGUACACUCAACUUUGCCUGAUGGUUUACCACUGAAUGCAGGUUAACUAUCUCAUCGGUGACCUUUCUCCCUUUUGCCUGAUGGUUUACCACUGAAUCCAGUCAACUUUCUCACUCUUCAUGCAAGUUAUAGCGCACAUCACGACUGAGCUCAGUUGCAAUAGCGAGGCGAGCCAAUUGAUUGAACAAUAGGCAAUGUGCCAGAUAGUAUUUAUAUAGAAUAGAGAAAUUUGGUUUCAUGCAUAUUGCCGCACAUAAUAUGUCCCCUUUUACACUGAAGUUUCCAGUUCAGUGAGUUUGCAGUUUCGGACUUCCGUUCUGUUCCGCUAACAAACAGAUAAAUCUUGAUACUGGUUAUGCCCAACCAAGUAUCAUGACUUAACCUGUUCACUAAAGGUCGACAUACUUGAGCUUAUAAUGUGGACUGGGAUUGAGCAAAUUAAUAUCUUCACCACUGGGUACUUGCACGGUUCUACCACCAUAGAAGAUGCCCGCUUCUUAUAGGUAGAGAAUCCUAAAUGUGUGCUAGCUGUAACCAGUAUGGAUCCAGAACUCACCUCUCCUUCUUCAGUAAGCCCUUUGUCUCAUUUUUGUUUGUGGCAUCCGAAAUUUAAAGUACCGUCAUUGCAAUAGGACACUGUCUAUUGCAUCUGACCAAA